UAGGGAAUCUUCCGCAAUGGACGAAAGUCUGACGGAGCAACGCCGCGUGAGUGAAGAAGGAUUUCGGUUCGUAAAACUCUGUUGUUAGGGAAGAAAAAAUGUAUAGUAACUAAAUACAAAAGAGACGGUACCUAACCAGAAAGCCACGGCUAACUACGUGCCAGCAGCCGCGGUAAUACGUAGGUGGCAAGCGUUGUCCGGAAUUAUUGGGCGUAAAGCGCGCGCAGGUGGUUUAGAAAGUCUGAUGUGAAAGCCCACGGCUCAACCGUGGAGGGUCAUUGGAAACUAAUAAACUUGAGUGCAGGAGAGAAAAGUGGAAUUCCUAGUGUAGCGAUGAAAUGCGUAGAGAUUAGGAGGAACACCGGUGGCGAAAGCGGCUUUUUGGCCUGCAACUGACACUGAGGCGCGAAAGCGUGGGGAGCAAACAGG
rnacentral:rRNA from 1 species